AGAGAGAUGAAGCUUUAACACUUUGAUUAUUACACUAAUUGAAGUAAAAGCAUUGUUGCAAGAACAUUGUGUUCCACUCAGUCACUCACUCACUAAUCUAUGCGUUUGCUUUUGAAAUGCAAUACUCACUCAGCAACAUAUAAAAAGACUCAUAAUAUUGCCAUUGUCUAGAGUGCUUCAACAACUCCUUGUAACAUAGCAAGGUACAUAAUUAAAUGAAGAAAAAAGUCUCGUGUUACCAUUU
rnacentral:lncRNA from 1 species